rnacentral:rRNA from 1 species
UACGUAGGGGGCAAGCGUUAUCCGGAUUUACUGGGUGUAAAGGGAGCGCAGACGGCAGUGCAAGUCUGGAGUGAAAGCCCGGGGCCCAACCCCGGAACUGCUCUGGAAACUGUGCUGCUAGAGUGUCGGAGAGGCAGGCGGAAUUCCUAGUGUAGCGGUGAAAUGCGUAGAUAUUAGGAGGAACACCAGUGGCGAAGGCGGCCUGCUGGACGAUGACUGACGUUGAGGCUCGAAAGCGUGGGGAGCAAACAGG